GCGACCUCAGGUCAGGCGGGGCUACCCGCUGAGUU
rnacentral:rRNA from 7 species